CACACCCACCGCCUCUCUUCCCUUCUCCCUUAAUCCAAUCUUCAUCUCUCUCACAAACCCAAAUCCAAAUCCAAAUCAAAAUCAAUCAAACUUGUUAUUGAUGUGAUUCAAAUCCCUAAUUCCAUGGGCGAGGAAGUAAAGCUUGACGAAUCCACCGUCUCCGACUGGGAGGCCGGCCUCCCCUCCGCCGCCGAUCUCACCCCCUUAUCUCAGUCCUUGAUCCCACUCGAAUUAGCCUCCGCCUUCCGAAUCUCCCUCGACCCUCCCCGCACCGCCGUCGACGUCGCCCGCGCCUCCCGCACCACGCUCUCCUCCCUCCGCUCCUCCAAUUUCAACCCGCCCGCCGACGACGGAUCCGACCUGAAGAAGCCCCGCCCCGACGAAGACGCCGCCGCCAAGACGCUGAAGCGCCCGCGCCUCGUGUGGACCCCGCAGCUGCACAAGCGGUUCGUGGACGUGGUGGCGCACCUAGGGCUGAAGAACGCCGUGCCGAAGACGAUUAUGCAGCUGAUGAACGUCGAGGGUUUGACUCGCGAGAAUGUCGCCAGCCAUCUGCAGAAAUAUAGGCUGUAUGUGAAGAGGAUGCAGGGGCUUUCCAACGAGGGGCCUUCCCCUUCCGAUCAUCUCUUCGCUUCCACGCCGCUUCCCCCGCAGAGCCUCAAUGAGUCCUCCAGCCAUGGUCCGAACGGAAGUCAUAGCAGUGUUGGUAACGGAAGCAGUGUGGGGAUGCCAAUUCCCAUGCCGCCGCCGCAGAUGAUGGGAAUGCUACACGGCUACCAUGGACACUAUCAGCAGUAUGGUGGUGGUAAUGGUAUGAAUAUGAUGCAGCAGCAGCAGAGGGACUGGUCUGCCCAUAAGUAUAAUGGUUAUUCACAGCAUCACAUGGCUCAAAAUAAUAGCAAUUGUUAGUCUGAGAAUAAAGCUAUGUAUAGCUUCCUUCUUUGAAGACCCAAAAUCAAGGUUGUUCCAAAAGAAGAAACCUAUAGCAUUUCAAAAGUACUGGAUGCCACUGAUUUCAUACAUGGAUUGUUUAUGCUUUCAGUGAAAUGAUUCUCAUCAACUAGUCUUAAAGUCCAUGAUGCCCUGAGCUUGCAGCAUACAUUCAGAUUUUGCGAAGCUUUGUUAUAAUUCAAGAACAGAAAGCCUUGAUUUAUUGCACCUGAUCCUUUGGAAGAGCAACGACUUAUGGCAUUUGGUCUCUGCCCACCAGAGUGAAAUGGGACGAGUUUUUGUGGGUGCAGUGAAGCUAAAAGCUUACAGUCAAAUUAGUCCGGCCGGCUUCAUGCAGAAGUUGUUAGUUUUUCUUUAACUUGCUGUACUGAUAAUUGUGUGUUUCUUUGACAAGCAUGGGUUUAUGAGUUUGGUUUCUGAGAGUCAAGUAUUAAUACCAACUUCUCUAGGAUAAAUCUUACAUUAAACAGAAAUCAAGUCGUCUUCGGUUGCCUUUUUCAUGAUUUUGCAUGCAAAUCUCUUUGACGACCAAAAUAUAGUACUGCUGUUGGUUUGUAUUUUUUGCCUGGUAGAUCCUAUUACAUGGUCUAAAUGAAGAAGAAUGUUGCUCAGACAAUGUUUUAUACAGAUAUGUUAAUGUAGUGAAAGUUGUUAAUUCU